rnacentral:tRNA from 1 species
GCCCCGGUAGUCCAACGGCAGAGACACGGUGCUCAAACCACCGCCAGUGUCGGUUCGAAUCCGACCCGGGGCAC